rnacentral:other from 1 species
AAAAUCCUGAGGUGUUCGUUAAGGUUACAUAAUUUAUCUAACACUUUAAUUCACGGGAAUCCGCGUUUCUUGCGCGCCGUGGCGCGCGGAACAGGACAACCACUUAUCUUGGGGUAAGGUUGUGAAUUUGUGAUCUGACGGCACAUCGGGAUUUUU